CUUGGGAUUUUGGAUAGUGUUAGUUUUUGUGUAUAUGGUAUCAGGAAUGUAUGUAUGAAUGAAGCAAGGAUGAGGAACUCGUGACAACUUCCUUUGGCACCACAAUCUGCAAUUGGCUGCUGUUGAUGUGCUUUCAUUUGGUUAUCUCUACUCUGACUAUGCACUCUUCAUGUUUCUUUGUAUAUUUUGAGGAUAUAGUUUUCUUUGAUUCCAAGGACUUGUUUGUGCUUUGGUGUUACAGAGGAGAGAGCUGUGAAUGUACUGUUGGAUUUGAAAGUUUUGAGCCUUUGGAUUCAACGGGUUACUUUUUCCUUGAGUGUUUGUUCUGGAAUAGGUGUCCUAUUAUGAUGCGGCAGUGCUGGUAUUUAUUUAUGUUUAGAAUUAUGAAUCUAAGCAUUAGCAGUGCAUCUAUUUUCUUGUAUAAUCAAGAUAUAAGUUUGUUUUGCAGUGACUUGAACGUUUGUAGAUAUUUUGAUACAUUUCGUAUUGAUGAUAAUCGAUAAGAAUGAUAAUGGCUACAGAUACAUAGAUCAAGUUUCUUCAAUGAAGUCGUUCUUUAUUAUUUUUAUUUUUGCGCUUCCAUUGUAAGAUACAAAUUGAAUUGUGAACUUGUUUUUCUGCAGUGUGGUUUUUCAAAAUAAUGAUGUUCAUUCAUCAUAGCAUGGGAGCCUCAAGUUUUGGUUUGCCUAUUUCUUUUUAAAACAUAUUUUUUCGAUACUUUAUUCCCUUUGGUGAUGCAGGGACGAUAAUAAUUUUCUUUCUCUUGUUUGAUCUUCCGGUUUUGUAUUCUGAUUAUUUUCUCUGGUAUUUUGAUUGUGAGGUUUGAUUUGAUUCUGGCUUUAAUGCAUGUUAUUUUCUGCGGUGCAGUGUGUUUUGAAACAAUAACAUUUUAUUAGCAUCAAGCCUCAGGUUUUAUUCUGGUCUAUUCUGAUCUUGAUUUCAGGGAUCGCUGUUCUCGUUUUCUAUGAUCCGUCGCUGUAAACGCAUUGAUAUGGUUUUUUCAGAUAGUGGAUAUCAAGAAUUUCACACUAUCACACACCUCUAUUCACUCUUUUACGCAUCAUCGGUUAUUUCAAUAAUUUUGGAUACAAUUCUUCAUUUGAUAAUGAGACGUGCAUUUAUCCGUUUUGCUUUUACAGUGAGCUGAAAAGUUUUGGUGUCUAUGUAGAGCGACUUGAUGCAAUAGACAAGAUUGGAGAACGGUCCCGGAUAGAUAAAUCAAAUUUUUUCAAUGAAUAUCUUUUUACUAUUUUUUAGAAUUUGAUUUUAAGCAAAUUGAAUUAAGACCAUAUUUUUAUGCAGCGUGAUUUGUCAAAGAUGGAGCCC
rnacentral:lncRNA from 1 species